rnacentral:siRNA from 1 species
UCGCGGCGACGUGGGUGG